GUGACAAACUACAAAAUCAUCCAGUCUGGCUCCCUCUUUUUAUAGGUGAGAUACAAUCUGAGUUUCAUAGUUCAGCUAUGAAUUUAACAAGAGGCAGAAGAAGAAGAAGAAGAAGAA